GUCUCCAGAGGUGUAACAUCUUGUUUCCAAGACUGGGACAGCAGAGAGAAACAGGGGCAGGAAAUACUGUAGUAUGAAGUCUUCAACAUGAGUCGCUCUGGGAUGAACAAGGGAAGAGACUCUGAAUGAGUGGUCGCGGAGGCUCCAAGGUGCCUGCUUCAGAACAGUGCCUGAUGACUGAUGGGCUGAAGGCUUGAGAAAUUACAUGCACGAUAGGAAAGAAGGUCUUCUUGUGGGUCUGAGGAUCUGUUCUGAACUGGAACUAUGGUCUACAACCCUUUGCAUGUACCGGGACA